AGAGUUUGAUCAUGGCUCAGGAUGAACGCUAGCUACAGGCUUAACACAUGCAAGUCGAGGGGCAGCAUGUUGGUUGCUUGCAACCAAUGAUGGCGACCGGCGCACGGGUGAGUAACGCGUAUCCAACCUACCCUUGUCCAUCGGAUAACCCGUCGAAAGGCGGCCUAACACGAUAUGCGGUUCUCAGCAGGCAUCUAACGAGAACGAAAUGUGAAGGAGAAGGAUGGGGAUGCGUCUGAUUAGCUUGUUGGCGGGUAACGGCCACCAAGGCGACGAUCGAGUAGGGGUUCUGAGAGGAAGGUCCCCCANAUUGGAACUGAGACACGGUCCAAACUCCUACGGGAGCA
rnacentral:rRNA from 1 species